AACGAACGCUGGCGGCAGGCUUAACACAUGCAAGUCGAACGCCCCGCAAGGGGAGUGGCAGACGGGUGAGUAACGCGUGGGAACAUACCCUUUCCUGCGGAAUAGCUCCGGGAAACUGGAAUUAAUACCGCAUACGCCCUACGGGGGAAAGAUUUAUCGGGGAAGGAUUGGCCCGCGUUGGAUUAGCUAGUUGGUGGGGUAAAGGCCUACCAAGGCGACGAUCCAUAGCUGGUCUGAGAGGAUGAUCAGCCACAUUGGGACUGAGACACGGCCCAAACUCCUACGGGAGGCAGCAGUGGGGAAUAUUGGACAAUGGGCGCAAGCCUGAUCCAGCCAUGCCGCGUGAGUGAUGAAGGCCUUAGAGUUGUAAAGCUCUUUCACCGAUGAAGAUAAUGACGGUAGUCGGAGAAGAAGCCCCGGCUAACUUCGUG
rnacentral:rRNA from 1 species